rnacentral:misc_RNA from 1 species
UAUGCUUCCCCAUUAGUGGUACAAUAUUAUUUCUAAGAGCUCGUGUUCGCCUAGCCCUUUACUCUUGCAUUGUGGAAGAUUGGUUUAAAGCAGGCACGACGGAAAGUGUGGAGAGGUUUAGGAGUGGGAGGAAGUGGAUCAAGAGAAACAUUAAUUCCACUUAAGUACCCUAGAAAAAGCAAAUCAAAAUGAUGCCUGCA